rnacentral:rRNA from 1 species
CCCGCCGGAGGUUACUGCUAUCGAGGUUCGACUAAGCCAUGCGAGUCGAAUGUAGCAAUACAUGGCGUACUGCUCAGUAACACGUGGAUAACCUACCCUUGAGACGGGGAUAAACCCGGGAAACUGGGUAUAAUACCCGAUAGAUCUCGUCUGCUGGAAUGCAUCGAGCUCUAAAGCUCCGGCGCUCAAGGAUGGGUCUGCGGCCUAUCAGGUAGUAGUGGGUGUAGCGUACCUACUAGCCUACGACGGGUACGGGUUGUGAGAGCAAGAGCCCGGAGAUGGAUUCUGAGACACGAAUCCAGGCCCUACGGGGUGCAGCAGGCGCGAAAACUUUACAAUGCUGGAAACAGCGAUAAGGGGACCUCGAGUGCCAGGUUACAAAUCUGGCUGUCGUGAUGCCUAAAAAGCAUUGCAUAGCAAGGGCCGGGCAAGACCGGUGCCAGCCGCCGCGGUAACACCGGCGGCUCGAGUGGUAACCGUUAUUAUUGGGUCUAAAGGGUCUGUAGCCGGCCGGAUAAGUCUCUUGGGAAAUCUGGCAGCUUAACUGUCAGGCUUUCAGGAGAUACUGUCUGGCUCGAGGCCGGGAGAGGUGAGAGGUACUUCAGGGGUAGGGGUGAAAUCUUGUAAUCCUUGAAGGACCACCAGUGGCGAAGGCGUCUCACCAGAGCGGACCUGACGGCAAGGGACGAAAGCUAGGGGCACGAACCGGAUUAGAUACCCGGGUAGUCCUAGCCGUAAACGAUACUCGCUAGGUGUCGGCCACGGUGCGACCGUUGUCGGUGCCGUAGGGAAGCCGUGAAGCGAGCCACCUGGGAAGUACGGCCGCAAGGCUGAAACUGAAAGGAAUUGGCGGGA